UUUAUAUAGAGUUGAGUAAGGAGAUAGAAUAUGAGAUAGAGCAUGAGUUAAGGCAUGAGAAUUAGUCAAUGAGUUUCUAAUCGAGAUUCAUUUUUAUGACAUGAACCUUCGAUGAUGAUGAUGAUCCCUGAAGACACAAGCAGAGCAAGGAAGUAAGUAACUCCGCUUUGACGGGAGAUUUUGAGUAAGGUCUUCAGGUGGGCAAUAUUUUGAGUAUACGUAUAUCAUUCGAGCUUUCUAAAAUGAUUUAAUGAUGUUAUGAGUUUAUCAAAUGUUUGAGAUAAAUGAUAUUUGAGAACUGUUUGACUUGCCAAUUUUUGAUGUUGAGCUUGUAUGUUACCCUCUACUGAUGAGAUGAGACGAAUUCGGAUCCUGCCACAAGCAGGGUUGUGUACACAGAGGUGACCGUGAGCCGUCUUCGGGUCCGCCGGUCACGGUGCUUGAGAAGGAGGCCUACUUCUCAGUACCUUGUUUAUGAUGAUGAGUUGUAGAUGCGGUACAUACAUGUCGAUUACUUGUCUGCAGACACAUAUUUAUGAUGUUUAUUAUUAAAAC
rnacentral:lncRNA from 1 species